UCUCUCUCUCUCUCUCUCUCUUAUUAAGUUAAUCAGCGGAAGCAUCUCUAACGACGUCCGAAUAUUGAGAGAAUGGACGGAUCAACGCUUCAGCAAGUCUUGAUUCACCUACAAUUUAGAGAUCAAGCAGUUACAGUUACAUAGUACAACCAGUCUUCACGUGUUCUAUUAUGCUAUUAGCUGAUUGAUCUAUAUUUGUUAAUCGUAUGGUUUAUUUGGGUACAGUUGCGUGUGGUUUUGAUUGCCUAUUUGUUUGAUUAUUAGAGAUGCUGAUCAAUUCCGACAGUGGAAAGCUUCUCAAGAAAAGGAAUUAUUGCAGCUCAAUAGAUAAGGAAGGAAGACAGAGCAUGAAAGACUAAAACUGGAAGCCCUCAAUCGACGUCAAAAAAUGGUUCUUCAUAGAAAAACAGAGGAAGCAACAAUGGCUACCAAGAAACUUAAGGAGCUGCUGGAAUCUCGCAAGUCAUCAGUGGCUGGCAAUGGUCAACCACCAACUAAAAAGGUGAUAAAAUCUCCUAAUUUAGAUAUGGGUCCCACCAUCCAGCACAAGUGUCAACUCUUUCCUUUUCAUACUCUUUGCGGGUGAAAGAAAAAACUCUUCAGAAAUGGCUUGAUAACGAGCUAGAAGUUAUGACAAAAGUACAUCAAGUUCGUUCCCAAUAUGAAAAGCAAAUCCAAGUGUGCGUUUUCAACCCUCUUAUUCAUGUUGUUAGCUGCAGAGUUCUUUUUCCCAAAUAUUUUUCUAAAUUUUAGGUUGAUAAGGGAAAAAAUAAAAAUCAGUGUAAGGCCUAUGCCACACCUAUAUCUUUUUUUGGGUCCGCCCCUGACUGGAAUGUUCAAAAAAGGGAAGAAAAGGAGAAUUGUCGAUGGAUGCUGAAAUAUUUCUGACACCAACGUUUCAUAUGGUGAAAGUGAAGAAAUGUAAUGGAGAUACUUUGGAGUAUCAGAAAUUAGUGAAAGAGGAUCUUAGGCCUGCUCUUGCAGAUAUUGUUUUUUGUUUGGCAGAGCAACAAAGAUGACGAAUUAGUGCCUGCUUCACACCGAGAGACAGUUGUGAACUGUUUCUUACAACAACAUGACGAGUUUGUGUUCACCAUUCUUUUUUAUUUCAGCAUGUUGACUUCCUCAAAUUCUUCUUUGCCUCUUUUAAACUACCCAAGUUAAAGCAAAAUCUGAUCUUGAUUGAUCAUUGUUUUACUUUAGAAAUUGUGUACGGGGCACAAUCCUGACGUGGCCUUUGGAUUUUUUUACUCAAACUAAACUAUUUUUUUCUA